rnacentral:rRNA from 1 species
AUGGUGUUCAUUGACUUGGAGAAGGCCUAUGAUAAGAUACCGCGGAAUGUCAUGUGGUGGGCCUUGGAGAAACACAAAGUCCCAGCAAAGUACAUUACCCUCAUCAAGGACAUGUACAAUAAUGUUGUGACAAGUGUUCAAACAAGUGAUGUCGACACCGAUGACUUCCCGAUUAAAAUAGGACUGCAUCAGGGGUCAGCUUUGAGCCCUUAUCUUUUUGCAUUGGUGAUGGAUGAGGUAACAAGGGGUAUACAAGGAGAUAUCGCAUGGUGUAUGCUCUUUGCGGAUGAUGUGGUGCUAGUUGACGAUAGUCAGACGGGGGUAAAUAGGAAGUUAGAGUUAUGGAGACAAACCUUGGAAUCGAAAGGGUUUAGGCUUAGUAGAACUAAAACCGAGUACAUGAUGUGCGGUUUCAGUACUACUAGCUGUGAGGAGGAGGAGGUUAGCCUUGAUGGCCAGGUGGUACCUCGGAAGGACACCUUUCGGUAUUUGGGGUCAAUGUUGCAGGAGGAUGGGGGUAUUGAUGAAGAUGUGAACCAUCGAAUCAAAGCCGGAUGGAUGAAGUGGCGCCAAGCUUCUGGCAUUCUCUGCGACAAGAGAGUGCCACAAAAGCUAAAAGGCAAGUUCUACAGGACGGCGGUUCGACCCGCAAUGUUGUAUGGCGCGGAGUGUUGGCCGACUAAAAGGCAACAUGUUCAACAGUUAGGUGUGGCGGAGAUGCGUAUGUUGAGAUGGAUGUGUGGCCACACGAGGAAGGAUCGAGUCCGGAAUGAUGAUAUACGAAAUAGAGUUGGGGUAGCACCAAUUGAGGAGAAGCUUGUCCAACAUCGUUUGAGAUGGUUUGGGCAUAUUCAGCGCAGGCCUCCAGAAGCUCCAGUGCAUAGCGGACGGCUAAAGCGUGCGGAGAAUGUCAAGAGAGGGCGGGGUCGACCGAUUUUGACAUGGGAGGAGUCCGUUAAGAGAGACCCGAAGGAUUGGAGUAUCGACAAAGAGCUAGCUAUGGACAGGGGUGCGUGGAAGCUUGCUAUCCAUGUGCCAAAGCCAUGA